rnacentral:rRNA from 1 species
UACGGAGGGUGCGAGCGUUGUCCGGAAUCACUGGGCGUAAAGGGCGCGUAGGUGGCGCGACAAGUCAACGGUGAAAGCUCGGCGCUCAACGCCGAGUCGGCCGUCGAUACUGUUGGGCUGGAGCACUGUAGAGGCAGAUGGAAUUCCGGGUGUAGCGGUGGAAUGCGUAGAGAUCCGGAAGAACACCGGUGGCGAAGGCGGUCUGCUGGGCAGUAGCUGACACUGAGGCGCGACAGCGUGGGGAGCAAACAGG